UGAACGCUGGCGGCGUGCUUAACACAUGCAAGUCGAACGGAGUUUUAACGGAAGUUUCGGAUGGAAGUUAAAAACUAGUGGCGGACGGGUGAGUAACGCGUGGGUAACCUGCCUCAUACAGGGGGAUAACAGUUAGAAAUGACUGCUAACACCGCAUAAUAUAGCGAAACCGCAUGAUUUUGCUAUCAAAUAUUUAUAGGUAUGAGAUGGGCCCCGCGUCUGAUUAGCUAGUUGGUGGGGUAAAAGCCUACCAAGGCGACGAUCAGUAGCCGGCUUGAGAGAGUGACCGGCCACAUUGGGACUGAGACACGGCCCAAACUCCUACGGGAGGCAGCAGUGGGGAAUAUUGGACAAUGGGGGAAACCCUGAUCCAGCGACGCCCGCGUGAGUGAAGAAGUAUUUCGGUAUGUAAAGCUCUAUCAGCAGGGAAGAUAAUGACAGUACCUGACUAAGAAGCCCCGGCUAACUACGUGCCAGCAGCAGC
rnacentral:rRNA from 1 species